rnacentral:rRNA from 1 species
CAGUCGCCGCGGGAAUACGAAGGGGGCUAGCGUUGUUCGGAAUUACUGGGCGUAAAGCGCACGCAGGCGGCUCGAUAAAUUAGAAGUGAAAGCCUUGGGCUUAACCUGAGAAUUGCUUUUAAGACUGUCGAGCUAGAAUCCAGAAGAGGGUAGUGGAAUUCCGAGUGUAGAGGUGAAAUUCGUAGAUAUUCGGAAGAACACCAGUGGCGAAGGCGACUACCUGGCCUGGCAUUGACGCUCAUGUGCGAAAGCGUGGGGAGCAAACAGGAUUAGAGACCCCUGUAGUCCCUGUCUCUUAUAC